UGAUGACUGUUCCUCCUGUUGCCUUUAGGUAUGGCACUAGGAUUUUAGGUCAUCAUAAAUUAAAAUAGAUUUUUUUCACUCAGAGAACAUUAAGGUAAUUGGGAUUAUCUCUUUGUAUUCUCUGAAAUUUGCAGGAUCAAACAAAA